rnacentral:rRNA from 1 species
UACGUAGGGUGCAAGCGUUAAUCGGAAUUAUUGGGCGUAAAGAGCUCGUAGGCGGUCUGUCGCGUCUGCUGUGAAAACUCGGGGCUUAACCCCGGGCCUGCAGUGGGUACGGGCAGACUAGAGUGCGGUAGGGGAGACUGGAAUUCCUGGUGUAGCGGUGAAAUGCGCAGAUAUCAGGAGGAACACCGGUGGCGAAGGCGGGUCUCUGGGCCUUACCUGACGCUCAGGUGCGAAAGCUAGGGGAGCGAACAGG